rnacentral:lncRNA from 1 species
CGUGUCACAAUAUGAACCAUAAAGGUAAUAUACAUGAUAUGGGGAGUUAAAACGUCCUUGAUAAUUUUUGGUUGAGAAGUCGAGCGUACGCUGCACGGCUUGAGUAAUGGAAGGCUCAGGGUCUUCCUCAAGUGCCAACAAUGAGAAGUAUAUUCAUUUUCUUUUGCCUUUCCAUUCGGUCUUGGUUCCUUUUGUCAGGGUUAUUAUGCCCUAACCAUGAACGUUGUUAAUCGCAGUAUGGCUUAGAUUGCUAUUACUGUGAGUGGCCCGUGCUUGUUGACAGGAAAAGACUCUAUGGCAACUUUCUUAGAUCUGACUUAUUUUCGGAUAGAGUUGCAUCUAAGUUUUCCCUCGAAAUGGUUGGACUGCAUGGCGUUGUUUUGGCUCAAGCUAAGAAGCUUGAGGAUAUUGCCUCAAUUUUUUGGAAUAUAUUAGAUUUCUCCUGUCCUCAAUCUGGGGGUGUCUCUCGCGGUAUAAGGGAUAAGUUGUCAUCGUCCUUAACCCUUGGUUGAAUUGCGACUCACUCUCCCCUAUUUUGGUUCACUUGUCUCAUGAUGAAAACUUGCAUGGGACGAAGAGCGGGGGUUUGUUUUUGAGGACUCUUGAAGGUGUGGGGUUAAUUUUUCUUUUCUGAUUGUUCUCCCUGAGAUUGGGCUUUUCAUGCUCAUUAGUUCCCUCAACUUAGCAUCCCUGGGGUAACGAUCCUCUUGAUUCGCACAUCCUCCAUCAUUUUUAUAUUGAAACAUUAUUAUGAGGGUUGAAAGACGAGCAUUGUCCUUCCUCAAUCCGAGAAUAAUAGUAGGGGUAUGUUGUGCUAGUGGAGCAUUCCAGUGGUCUGACAAUAUAUUACCCGUACAUUUCUCUCUUUUCUCGUUAAAUCCAUUUUUGCCGAUGCUUUUCCUAUAAAAUCCCACCUUUCCUUUCCUUUAGCCUAUUCACGCCUCCCAAUUAUCCCCUUCUCUUUCUUUUCUUUAAAAUUUCUAUAAGAUUGAAGAUAUCUUUCACCCAAACCUUUCGGCACCAUUAUUCCAUAGACAUGGCCAAAUGUAUCCUAUGGAUCUGGCUCACAUGUAUCUUUGCUUCUUGUUUUCUGAAUAUGGUUCUCCUAGUCAAGCAACUCGCUGACAGUUGGGAAUGAAGCCUCUGUUCCUGUUACUCUUAAGUGUUAUUACUUUGCAUUUUCCAAUAUAUUUUGCUUUUCAUACCUUGUUUUGAGUUCGUUUGUAUCUUGAGAUGAUGAAGUUGUUGGAAUAAAAUAAAAUUUGUUUUUCAUUUCUUGGAGGUCCAUUGGGAUGAAUGGCUUGUGUCGGGAUCCUAUCUCGAUCUUUAUUUACCCAUCAUAGGCACUGGAGGGGAAAUAUGAAUAAGCCAUAGAGGGGCUCCCUUCCCUAUAAAACCAUCUUUAUUCUUUUAGUCUCCUUAUUUACACUAUACUCUUCUUCACCUACGAAAAUGACAGACUGUUCAGAGUGGGUAUUGAUUGUGGUUUUUGGAAUCCUCGGACUCCUAUUUAUGCUCACUCAGCUAACGGCUCUCCAACAACAUGUUGAGGAGGCUGAAAGAAACUACCAAAGAUGAUCGGCUACCCCUCUACCGUCAGAUGAAUGGUCGAGGUAUGGAUUGUCUUUUUUAUUUCCUGCUCACGUACCCUUCCUGCUUGUCAUGUAUUCUCCUUGCAUCCCGCUCUUUCCUUUUGAGAAACUAUAAUAUUUCAAAGAUGGAAUAAAAUCUCUCCCCUCAUUAACGAUGAUGCUGAGAUCAUUUCU